rnacentral:lncRNA from 1 species
UCUUAUCUGAUUUAAAAAUUGAAUAGCUAAAGCCAAUAAUGUGUUCCCAGUUUUAAGGCUUUUGAUACCUGUUGCUAAAUUGAACAAUAGGGUUUGAUGGAUUUUAAAAUCCCUAUUUUUAAAACUUUUUCAGUGAUUUUUAAAUAAAAAAAUUAUAUCUCUUCUUGGUUUAUUUUCUAUUAGAUGAAAAUCAUGGUUUAACAGUGUAAAACAAUAAUAGUCAUGGAUUAAAUAUGUGGUAUAAAUGAUAUAACACAAGAUUUUAUGGAUCCUAUAAAUAUUGUUUUUCAAAAUAAUUAUGUUGCUAGGGCUGGCCCGGUGGUGCAGUGGUUAAUUUUGCACAUUCUGCUUUGGUGGCCUGGUGUUCGCCGGUUUGGCUCCCGGGUGCGGACAUGGCAACACUUGGCAAGCCAUGCUGUGGUAGGCGUCCCACAUAGAAAGUAGAGGAAGAUGGGCACAGAUGUUAGCUCAAGGCCAGUCUUCCUCAGCAAAAAGAGGAGGAUUGGCAGCAGAUGUUCGCUCAGGGAUAAUCUUCCUCAAAAAAAAAAAAAAUUACGUUGAAAGAUAGGAUACCCACUUGUUAUAUUCAUGGUUACAUUUGCCAAAAUAUUUUUGAAGUUAUUCUUCAGCAAUUGCAUAAAGACAUAAAAAUAUUUUGUAUAUUAUGAUAGAUUAUUAUUAUUUUCUAUAACAAAAUGUAAUUGAACUUUAUCCCAAAUUUUUCCAUCAGAGUUGACAAAAUAAAUUGUUUACAACAUUUUCUUUACUCAAUAUCCAACCUCCUCCUUCAUAACCAGAACCUUAUUUUUUUCAGCUAGUGUGGCUACGACGUGUUCAGCCCUGGCAAUAGAUUAUGGCUGGUCCAAGCCAAUUCUCAGGAUGUCUUACAACAUGACAUGGUCUUAAGAACCUGCUCUGUCAAUAGGACUCGACCAGAAGUCUACUUAAGCGAUCUGUGGACUAACCCGAGAUAUGUGGAUCCAGCAACAGACAAGAAUUUUUCAGCCCACAUAAGGGAAGUCAUUUUUUGCAGUUGUAUUACUAGACAAAUCUCAAAUCCUGGUAAGUGGGAAAGAAACAGUUAUUGUAAAUUUGAGCUAACUAUAGCCAAUUUUACUCCUAGAAAAUAAAACUAUCAAGAACAGGAUUUGAUAUAAUUCUUUCGACUCUCUCAUUCUUUCCUGAGAUCUUCACCUUAACUUCACUGCUCACGGCUGUGCAGAUUUCCAGUGUCUGCUGAGCUUUAGUCCAAUGGCCUGCGUCUACCUUGUUUGAAAGAUUAGGCCAAGUUGAUGAACGGAGGCAGCUUGGAUUGGGCUGUUGUCUGAACAUGGUGACAGCUGUCACUGUGCCCUCCCCAACACCUAACUUCUCUACCAAAGGAAAGUGAAUUUGCCACGGAAGCUGAUUUGGGCAUUGUUUGGUUGAGUCUCAUUUCAGUCAUAUGUACAAUUACUUUAGAAAUUCUUCCACAUCUCAUCUGACAAGUCAUUUGGGUUUCUAUUUAAUGUGAAGUCUCAAAUAGUUUAGAUAAUUUAUUAUUAGUAAAUAACUAUUCUCCAAAAUGAGCUACAGAAAGUUUUUAGAUAUGAGGUAAAGAUUCAGAAAUAGUUACUAGUUCUGGACCUGAAAUAAUAAGGGAACAGUUUAAAUAUCAAAUUAUGUUGCCUUAUUAAAGAUAAGUUGUAUCACUCUCUCGAGCUCAUUCAGUUCCAAUUUAGCCAUUUUCCAUUUAAAACCAGGUUAAUCUUAUUUUGUCAAUUGAUAACUCAUUCUAGGAAAUGCAUUUUGUAUGCAUAUAUAUUCAAAAACACAAAUACGUAUAUAAUAUAUAUUACAUAUGGUUUACGUAUAUACACACACAUAUCACGUAUAUGCGUAUAUAUAGUGGGUAGGGUUAUAUGCAUGUAUGUAUAUAUGUAAUAUAUACAUAUAUAGUGUAUAACAGUAUAUAUGAAUAUAUCUGUAUAUAUACAUACAUACACACAUACGUAUUUAUUCUAAAGUACGUUGCAUGGUUUCUUAGAAAUGACAGAAAUAUUUUUGAAGACAUUUCCAUCUUGGCCUACUCCAUCUCCAAAAGAUUCUGGGCUGCUUGUAGAACUGAAGGUCAGCUCUAGGCAGUGCUGAUCAUAGAGAGUGCAUCUUACGUAACUGGAUCCUAAUGGCUGUGGUUACUCAGGGCCUUGGCUAUGUUGUCCUUCUCUGGAUGGACUGCUUCUACACUGAGCUCUGGGGCAGGUGAGUUGGAGCUGCAAGACCUUUAAAAGCUAUUUCUCAGAUCGGUUUAGCCUUGUGGGUCUCCUACCUGAGCCCCCAGCCCUGUUGGUUUUCAAAGCUAGAUGUUCUGAGGACUCCUCUCUCAGGUGCCAGUCUUAAAAGUUGGGGUGCCUGGUGUGGGAUUCAAACCCUUUGCUCCUCAGAGAGAAGCUCCAGGUUUUCAGUUCCCUCCCCAUUGUGGGUUGCUUAGCCAGGCAUCGGGUUUAUGGCAAGAUUGUGUCUCAAUUUCUUCUACCCACUUCAAUGUGGGCCUUCUCUCGUUUGUCUCCAUGUCACCAGUGUAGCAGUUGCUCAGACAGUUUCUAGGUUUUUUUCAGAGGAAGUUGUUUCAUAUAUAGCUACAGAUUUGCUGUGUCCAUGGAGGAGGUGAGCCCAGGAUCCUCCUAUGUUGCCCUCUUGAACCAGCUAAAAAUCCUAAAUAUUUUUAAAGGCAUUCUGGUUGAUGUGUGGAGCCUAGAUUGGAGUGGGCCAAGAGCUGAUGCAGGAAAACCAGUUAGGAAAGAUAAUUUUGGCUUGGACUAGGAGACACAGAGACAUGGACCAAUGUGAAAACAUUCAAGAUCUAUGCUUGAGAGGAUUUACUCACAGACAGCAUGUGAGGACCGCGUGGAAGGGAGGAAUGAAGGAUCUCUUCUAGAUUUUUGGCUUGAGCAUCUGGGGGUAUGAUGAUGCCAUUUACUGAGAUUUGGAGCAGUAGAGGAAGAUAAACAGUCUUUCCUGGCUUGGUCUUCUUCUCCUUUUAAAAUGUUUUAUAAUAACCUUUGUUUUCCCUUUAUACCAUCUAUUACAGACUAAAAUUCUAUUUUAGUGUGCUAUUAUUUAAUUAUUAACUCCCUCAUUCAGUGGAUUGUAAGGUUUAUUUUAUCUCCUUGGCUUAGAAGAUGGCCUGGCACAUGGUAGACUCUUAAAAAUUGUUGAGUGAAUAAAUGAGUGUGUUGCCACUGAGGCA